UACAGAGGGGGCAAGCGUUGUUCGGAAUUACUGGGCGUAAAGGGCGCGUAGGCGGCCUGCUAAGUCGAACGUGAAAUCCCUGGGCUCAACCCAGGAACUGCGUCCGAUACUGGUUGGCUUGAAUCCGGGAGAGGGAUGUGGGAAUUCCAGGUGUAGCGGUGAAAUGCGGUAGAUAUCUGGAGGAACACCGGUGGCGAAGGCGGCAUCCUGGACCAACACUGACACUGAGGAGCGAAAGCCAAGGGGAGCAAACGG
rnacentral:rRNA from 1 species